UGGUAGUAUAAACUGAUAAAGGUUUUUAUAAGGCAAUUUAGCCAUAUCCUUUUCUAUUUCAAAUUCAUACUGGUCCCAUGUGCCUCAUGGGUUUGGAGCAAAUGAAGUCAUUAAUGUUACUGUGGAUGGAUAAAUGUGAAGGACAAAGAUAAACACAUAAGAUAAACUCAGGCUGACCAAGCCCCUAGUAAGUGUCAGGGACAGUGCUUGAACCCUUUACACAGGUCUGUGAGAUAAGAAUCAUCAUUUCAGAUGUGGCACCUGAGGCCCAGAGAGACGUUCAGCAACUUACCCAGCAUCACCCAGUCCACAAGUGAAACACCCCUUCAUUUCAGAAGUGAAUACUCCAGAGGGUCUCACUCUGUCACCCAGGCUGAAGUGCAGUGACAGGACCACGGCUCAUUGCAUCUUUGACCUCCUGGGCUCAGCCUCCAGAUUAACUGGUACUACAGGAGUGGGCCACCCACACCUGGCUAAUUUUCUGAGAGACAGGUUUCACCAUGUUGCCCAGGUUGGUCUUGAACUCCUGGGCUCAAGAGAUCUGCCCACCUUGGCCUCCCAAACUGCUGGGAUUACAGGUGUGAGCCACCACACCCAGCCCACAGGAGCAUUCUAUUGCCAAACUGAAAUGGGGAGGUGGGCAGAACCAUCAAAGAGCAGACACCCACUGGAGACCCAGGAGCUUCAGGAAGAACCCAGGGCUGGAAAAAGAGAAGCAGUCAAUAAAUGCACAGGGAGCUUUCACAGUAGGACAAGGAAUUCCAGAGGACAAGGGAGAGCAGGCUUGGGGAGAAAUGGGGUGAGGGGAAGGCGCUGGCAUGAAAUACUCCUGGCCAACUUCUACUCACUCUUCUGAACUCAGCUUAAACAUGGCUUCCUCAGGAAGACUUCCAGGACCCUUCAGACCAGGUCCUGUUUCCUUGCCCUAUGCUCCCAAAGCACUAUGCCUUUCUCUUUUGGUCAUGUUUGUCCAACUUGUAAUUAACUAAUCCAUGACUUUGCCUCUGUGAGUGCUGGGAAUCCAGCGUGAACCACAUAGUGCCUAACAUCCACAGGAAGUCCAUUGAUUCUCAUUGGGUGGAUGGGAGGAGGGAUGGGUGGGUGGAUGGAUGAUCUGAAAAUCCAGAUGAGGGCAACAGAAGGAAGAUGUUGCAUUUGAGGAAGCAAGAGUUUGGGGGAGAACAGGAGGUAUAUAAAAAUAACAGCAUAUAACCUUACUGGAACUUUUGGGAAUUUGAUUUUAUUUUACAGAAAGCAUAUAGGCAAGCCUAUAUAUGCUUUCUGAAGAAGAGGUAGGAUCUACAAUGAGGGAAUUUUAUCACUGCUUAGGUGUCAAUGAGAAAAUGCAUUUGCCGGCUGCUGGCUAAUUCAGUUUCAUGGUUUAUUUUCAACUCAUCAUUUUUAAAACUGACUUGAAUUUUGUCUACAGCUACCUAUAGUUAAUCUGUCCUUGUGCCUCAACAUUCCCUCUCAAGCUCUUCUUUACAAUUUAAACCCCCAAAUAGUCCCAAUUCCAAAUAUUCUGACUUGCUGUCCAAAAACCAUCAAAAUACCUCGGAAUUUUCAUCAUGUCUACAUUCAUACCAUGCCUCCAAGACAGCGUCUCACAUCUGAAAAUGGCACAAAAAUCCCUAGUUAGCCCAUGUAUCUUGAUUUGGGACUCAGAAAAUGUGCUUUUAGCCCUCACCUCAUAUUUACUCUGUAAACCAAACAUAAAAUUCUAAACCCCUCAACUGACUGAAUGGACUGCUGCCUCUUGGCCAAGGGCAUUUCCAAAAUAAACCUGAAAAACUAGUUCAGGCCAUGAUAGGAAGGGAAGUCGAACAUCCCUCAUUAUACCCUCCUCCCUUUGGAAUUCAGGCACAACUGAUCAGCAUUAUCAUUAAACAGAGAUAUUAAGACUGACAAAACAGACUCUUUGUAGCAGUAAGAUACCAAAUUCCAACCUGACCCUAAUAUAGCAUCACAUGACAGAUAGCAGGCCCUGAAAGAAUUCAAAGUAUUUUACCCAAAAAUAUAUUUCUUUGACAUAUUUUGAAAUGGCCCUGCAAAGCUCUCUCUUGUAGGAAAAAUCCAUAUUCUGUAGAGAAUCCCCUUCCCUUUCCUGGUCUUUUCUGAUCCAGGAGAUAGUUAAUUGAGAGUCUGGCAGCUUUUUAGGUCUGAUAAGAGACAUUUGCCAUCUAUUCUCUCUGAAGCCAGCUACCUGGAGGCUUCAUCUGCAAUAAUAAGAACUUUGGUUUCCACAACCUCUUAUCUUAACCCAAAUCUUCCUUUUUAUUGAUUCCAGGUCUUUAGAUAAUAACUUAACUCUUUCGACCAAUUGCCAAUCAGAAAAUAUUUGUUUUUUUUUUUUUUGCAGGGGGGAUGGUACAUGUAGGAUAUAAUAAUGCUUCUUCAAAGGUGUUAGCCUAUAAAUUGUUAAGUACAAUGAGUUCUGAGAUCCUCUCCAAAGAACCAAUGUAUCAGUAUGUUCAGCUCCCCUGUUCUUUGUUCCUCAUUUUAAAGCUUAACUUCCUCAUUCUUUACAUCUCCUUGUCCCUAGUUUCAGUAAACAACCCCCUCCUAGCCUCUAUUACCUGCUCUGACCUUAGUCACCCUUGGUCACCUGCUCCGACCUUAGUCAUCCUUGGUCACCUGCUCUGUUCUUAGUCAUCUUGUACCUGUUCUGUAACUGUCCUUCCUGCCAAACUACUCUCCCUGCCACUCCAGCUCAUACCCCUGCUCUCUUUAAAAUAGCCCACUGGAAUGAGCUUAGACUGUGUGAUCCAACCCUAGCCAAAGGGGAACAACACAGCAGUAGGGGCUACCUGUGUCAGGGAUAAGAACCCCUUCCACUCCCUUGUGCUCUCGCCAUUGCUCCAUCUGCAAAACGCACCCUUCUAUAGAAGUAAAAUUGCCUUGCUGAG
rnacentral:lncRNA from 10 species